GAUUUGUAAAGUGCCAGGAUCAAAGCCUGUAGAGCGUAGAGUAUUGUCGUCGUCGACGACUUUACCUUCGGGUGUUAGAAUCGCUAACAAGAUUUAUGAAACUGAAGAUGACAAACACUUGAAAAUAUGACCACUGCCACCGCCGCUGCAGCUACCACCAAAGCUGAAGUGACCAUGACCUCUCCGACUAACUCUCAAAAUCAAGCCCCAAGCUCUCCCUCACAAGAUCCCAAUCACAAUCAACAACAAAACCCCCCACAAUCAAAUGAUCCCGAAUCCCCUAAAACCCUAACCCUAGAAAUUCCGGAAGCAGAACAUCCUAACCCACAAGACGAUGAUCCCAACCAAGAUGACCCAGAAGAUAUCACCCCUAUUUCUCCAACAAUCUGCGAUCCCCACGUCUCCUCCACCUCUGUUGCGACUAAUUUCACCGCCUUUCGCCGCGGCGGAGGCGGCGGGAAACGUAGUAAGCGAAAUCAUCACCAGGAAAGGAAGUAUCAGAAAAGGCUCAAAAUUCUUGUUGGAACCCUUAACCCCGUCCCGUUUGUGCCUGUCAAAGCCCUCGAUUUCCCCUCCCAUGAAGCUCUCCUAAGACGACUUGGACUAUGGGAAUUUGUUCACCUGCAGUUCGAUGUCAACAUCCGCACCGAUCUUAUUAUGCAAUUGAUUCUGACAUUUAACCCCGCCGGUCGCCAUAGCUACGUCAACGGGUGUCGCAUCAAAGUCAGCCGCGCUGAUUUGGCUCGCGCAUUGAAUCUGCCGACGAAAAAGGAUAGGGUGGAUACUGUGCAAGAGUUGAAGGAGAGCGAAGAAUCUAUAGGAUUCAUGCAGGAAUUCGUGUCUACUUGGUUGUUGUUGCAUGAAGAUACCUGGAUGAUGACUGACGAUAUUUUGAGUGUGACUAAUGCGAUUAAAGAAGGGCAUUUUGAGAAGGUCGAUUUUGCUAAGUUAAUUUGGCUUAUGCUCGAGAAGGAGUUGGCGGCAGCACCCAAUUUAGGUAAUUGUUAUUAUGCCUCACAUUUGCAAAAACUGAUAAAACAUCAGAAGAGUGACUUGUUUAAGGAAGAGCCUGUUAAAAUGGAGGUCGAUGUGAAGGACGAUGGAGAGGAGGAAGAUGUGAAAAUAAGUCACGAACUUCGUGUAGGAUCAGAGUUGGAAGAGUAUAAUAUUGAAUUAAGUCUUGGUGGACUGGAUAAUUCAGGGAAAGAUGAUGGUGGAAAAGAGGGAAAGGAACAAGUGGGUGAUGAGGAUACUAUGGAUUUUGAGGAAAGUAAGGAGGAUGAAGAACAGGGGCAGUGGCUAAAGAGCAGCGUGGGUGGGCAUUUUCUGCGGCAAUGUAAUCUUGGUGAAGUUGGGGAUGUGGAAUGUGAGGAGAGAAAGCAGAAAGAAGAGGUGGGAGAAAAAGAGGAAAAAGACGGUGAAGAUGGAGAAGAAGAUAAUGAUGAGGAAGUGGGCUUUAGUAUUUCACCGAAAGGGGAUACUUUGGAUGGUGCAAAUUCUGAGAAUCUAAUUGCAGCCAUGGAGGCAGCACAAAUUCCUUUUAGUUCAGGGUUACAAAUUCGUGAUAAUGUGUCCUCAGGGGACUUUCUUGCAUCUAGGGUUGAUACACAAACAAUUCCUGGUAGUUCAUCACUUUUCAGUAACAGUAAUGGAAACAAGAGGGAAAUUGAGCAUCUUGAUAAUGAUAUACCCCAUCAUGCACUUAACGGUGGUAAUAAGAGGAUGAGGAGUGAUGGACCAUGGGAUAUGAAGUCAUCCUCUGAUUUUGAAAUUUAUAUGGAGCAAAUGGAACAUAUAAUGGGAAAAGCUAGGAUGGCGUAUGAGGCAAAGGAGCAGGCUUAUCAUGAUAUAAGCAUGAAUCAGCAAGUGUUGCUUAGUGAGCUGCAGCGGCGGGAUAAUGUGAUUCAGCAUUUACACAAGACCAGGAUAGAGGAGCAACAAAAAGGGCAUUCAGAGGUUUAUAGGCUUGAACGUGAAUUAUAUAUGAUGGGAAAUUUAUUAGAAGGGUAUAGGAAGGCUUUGAAGGAGACGCACAAGGCAUUUGCUGAGUAUCGCGUGAAAUGCCCGCUGCCUGAAGAACCAAUUUACAAGGAUACUGGGUCUGGGGGUCUUGUUUUGAGCACCAUGGAAUUGGAGAAGCGGCGCUUGAAACAAGAGGAAGAAGAAAGGCAAAGCCGUUUGUUGAUUGAGAAGAAGGUUAAGGAAUUUGAGGUAGAGUGUAUUACUAAAUUUGAAGCAUAUAAAGAUGGAGUGGAGUUAUUGGUUAGCAAGUUGAUGGAGGUUGAAAAGGAAGUCAAUGUCUUGAAGGAAAUAUUUGCAAAACGGAAGCUUGCAAAGAUGUCAGAAUGCCCUCCAGCUGAAGAAUGAGCUUCAAGUCUAUUUAAAGUGUGUGGAAAUUUAGGUGAAUGACAGCUAUCUAUGUAAGUUGAAUGGCACAACUCUUUCUGUGUUUGAAACUGGAAGCUCAAAUUUAUGUUAAUUGCUGACAGUUCUCUUACUUCUGAUAUGUUAUCUGUUUGAUCAAUAUUUUUGGGUGACAUCAACUACUUUGGGUUUUACUUGGUGGCUAAGUUGUGAAUUUUAUGUUCAAAAUUAGCUUAACAUUACACGAGAAGUUAACUCAAUUUUACACCCAGGCCAUCUAAGGCAGGAAAUAGAUUAUUUUGGUGUCCAUUUCCAAUUAGUUGACCAUCACUUUUGUUACUGGAUGGCUAGAGUGACAGCCUGGGGCCUUUUACAAGUUGUUUAGUAAUGUAGAUAGUCUUCUGGAUCUGAAAUGAAAUGUACUUCUUAGGAGUCGGUCCUAUCUUCAAAGAUUGGAAAUAUUAAAAAAAUUAACAUAACUUCGUAUUAUCAAAUUGUAUUUUGAAGUAGUUGUAAAAUGUCUAUUGAUCAUGGUUGGCAAAGAUCAGUUAAAAAAAAAAGAAAAAGGGAAAAAUUGUGUUGGUUAGAAAUCUGUUAGCUAUUAUAUUU
rnacentral:misc_RNA from 1 species